rnacentral:sRNA from 1 species
GCAACGCUAGCACCUGCGAAACCCUCGC